rnacentral:lncRNA from 1 species
AUUCAAAUUUUGGUUUGUGUAUUGGAAUUGUAGUUUAUAAAUUGAAAUUUUAGGAUUUGACUUGAACUUUUGUGGAUAUGAAUUGAAAUUUUGGUUUAUGUAUUGGAAUUUUAGUUUAUAAAUUGAAAUUUUAGGAUUUGACUUGAACUUUUGUGGAUAUGAGUUGAACCUUUAGGAUAUGAAUUGAAAUUUUGGCUUAUGUAUUGGAAUUUUAGUUUAUAAAUUUGAAAUUUUAGGAUAUGACUUGAAAUUUUGUGGAUAUGAGUUGAACCUUUAGGAUAUGAAUUGAAAUUUUGGUUUAUGUAUUGAAAUUUUAGUUUAUAAAUUGACAUUUUAGGAUUGGACUUGAAAUUUUGUGGAUAUGAGUUGAACCUUUAGGAUAGGAAUUGAAAUUUUGGAUUAUGUAUUGGAAUUGUAGUUUAUAAAUUGAAAUUUUAGGAUAUGACUUGAACUUUUGUGGAUAUAAGUUGAACCUUUAGGAUAUGAAUUGAAAUUUUUGUUUAUGUAUUGGAAUUUUAGUUUAUAAAUUGAAAUUUUAGGAUUUGACUUGAACUUUUGUGGAUAUAAGUUGAACCUUUAGGAUAUGAAUUGAAAUUUUGGUUUAUGUAUUGGAAGUUUAGUUUAUAAAUUGAAAAUUUUAGGAUUUGACUUGAACUUUUUUGGAUAUGAGUUGAAACUUUAGGAUAUGAAUUGAAAUUUUGGUUUAUGUAUUGGAAUUUUAGUAUAUAAAUUGAAAUUUUAGGAUAUGACUUGAACUUUUGUGGAUAUAAGUUGAACCUUUAGGAUAUGAAUUGAAAUUUUGGUUUAUGUAUUGGAAGUUUAAUUUAUAAAUUGAAAUUUUAGGAUGACUUGAACUUUUGUGGAUAUGAGUUGAACCUUUAGGAUAUGAAUUGAAAUUUUGGUUUAUAUAUCUGAAUUUUAGUUUAUAAAUUGAAAUUUUAGGAUUUGACUUGAACUUUUGUGGGUAUGAGUUGAA